CAUUUCUGUUAACCAACACUAAGGACAAAACAGUGACCCUGAAGUGUGCGUCUUCACAGUAAAAGGAUUAGAACAGAGGAUGGCUGAAAUCGUUCACACUGGGAUUAGACUGCUGCUGCUGCUGUUAAAUUUAUCUACAACAAGUGUUAGUGGAGAAGAUGGCCUGAUUUUUCCCGGACCCCGUUACAAGAUCAUAUAUCCAUGUGAACAAGAUGUGGUUUGCUUUCAUGUUUGGCAGUUCAGCUCAGAGGAAACACAUGAUUACAUCGCCAUAGUCAGUAAAGGAGAAAUCCAGACAGAUCCAACAUUAGAGGACAAAGACUCACAAUGCACUUUGCAGAUCAAUGAUCCCACAGCAGAGGAUGUUGGACGUCAUCACUGCAAACGAAGGCUGAACAUCUUAUCUCCUUACACGACACUCUCAGCAGGCCCACAGGUAAACCUCACACCUGGUAAAGCAGCAUCCCUGCAGUGUAUCCUCCUCACUUACGUACAGCAGGGACGCUGCUACACACAGCUGCUACAACAACAUGUCAGCCUGAUGUGGGUGGAUGAAGCCGGUGAUGAGAUACAAAAGACUCUCAGCACCAGAUAAAACAGGAGUCUGAAUGUGAUACAACCCUCACUGUCACUUUUCAAAGUCCCGUAAAAAAGACGUUCAGGUGCCAGGCGACUGUGGGAAAUCAAUCCCUAACUUCAGUGGAGUUUUGUGUCAGAGUCCCAGAUCCUAAAGGAAAAGGAAGAGGAUACAUGAAAGACCUAGAACCUCAAAGUCCAGGCGGCAGCCAGGACACAGUCGGCCUCACUGUGGGGUUGGUUGGAUGUGCCGUUUUGUCAGUGCUUGUAGCAGUGUACGUUGUGCACAAAAGAAGAAGAAGCCAGCAGCUGCCUGAGGAGUCUUGUUACACACAUAGUACAAACAAUGUUGUAAAUGAAGAUGAUGUGGUCUAUGCUGAAAUCAUGCUUCCUGUUGCUUCUGAGAGAGUUUUUGUCCAUGAGUGUGAGUCCACUGAGUACGCUUGUGUCCAAUAUAAAUAGUUUGCUUUACCAAAUGAAAAUGACACUGUAAUGAUUUAGUUCUCCAUGUGUGCUCCAACUGUGUGCAAUGUUUUAUAAUUAUGUCAUCUGCUCCAUUUAAAACCCCAUUCCUGUAGCUGUUGUUGAAACUUAAGGUCCUAACAGGUAUUAUGCUCUCUGACUUGUUUCUACCAUUUUACAUUUCAAACAAAAAUGUAUCAAGUGUUUUUAUAGUCUACCUCAGUCCAUUGUGUAUUUACUGAAAUCAGCAGUGAUGCUCAUUUAUGAUUUUUUUUCAAACCUGUACAAUUUCUUAAGAUAUGCACUGCUUUCAUAAAAUAUAAUAAAGCAGAAGUUGUUGAGAGAA